UACGGGGGGGGCAAGCGUUGUUCGGAAUUACUGGGCGUAAAGGGUGCGUAGGCGGCUUUCUAAGUCGGAUGUGAAAACUCUGGGCUCAACCCAGAGCCUGCAUCUGAAACUGGAAAGCUAGGGUUCUGGAGGGGAAAGCGGAAUUCCUGGUGUAGCGGUGAAAUGCGUAGAUAUCAGGAGGAACACCGGUGGCGAAGGCGGCUUUCUGGACAGAUACCGACGCUGAGGCACGAAAGCUAGGGGAGCAAACAGG
rnacentral:rRNA from 1 species